rnacentral:lncRNA from 1 species
CUCAGUUACGCCAUGCAAGGAGACUUGCAGAGACACUUUACCCUUUUGCUAGAAUGGUAGAACUUCAUGGUGGCCAUCUUGUGAGUCAUGAGAGGACUGCAGAGGUAAAUACGCUGUUUCUGAUUAAUUUAUACAAGUAACUAUACAUUUAUUGGCAUUGUUGGAACCUUGUUGUCUAGAAUUAUGUAAAGUAUAAAGAUUGGGUAUCAGUAGAUGGGAUUCUUGAGGAUUUGCUAAAAAAGAAGAAAAAAUGUGUCAUUCAGCAAUAAGACGAAUAGUUAUUGAUUUAUUUUUUCUUUUGUAAUAGAAAGAUUGUCAUAAAACUUAUUUUAAAAAUCCAAAUUUGCAGUAGAAUUAACUUUUUAUUGCUCAGGUCAAUGAAGCUCUUCUUGAGUUGAUCAGGGCAUCAGAAAGUGAGAUAGACCCACUCGAAUGGACUAAUUUGCCCCAGCCCAGCCCAGGUAAGAAUCACAAACUGAAUAUGAACGUGUUUUUUCCGCAUUGGUUCCUUUUUAGAAUGUUCAUAUGUUAGUAGGUGGGUCCACCAAUAUCACCUACUAAAACCCUGAUUUCCUAAAGGCUAUGGCAUGAAGUUUCCUGAGCUCAUGUUCUCUCCCUUUGUGAGUUUUUCACUUGGAAAGCUCAGUUGGUCUCACUAGCAAACAUGGAAUGGUCUUGUGGACCAUAAAACCCUACCGUACCUUACCCUCAUACCAAUGGAUGUGUAAUGGGAUUUACUAGGUAUUGUUCUUGUUGAUGACAUUUGAUUUAAGGAACCCUUGUUUCAUAAAACUGGUGAUUCUGAUAACAGAAGCAGAAUGGUGAAAGUUAUCAUGAUGAAUGAUUUUAAACAGACCAGAUGAGAACUACAGUCACUUGGAACAAGAGAUCUUCUAAACAUCCUCUUUUGUACUGGCUUUUGUAUUAAUUUUCAAGAUCAUCUUUAACAAAUCCCAUCAUGUGCUUAUAAUAAACUCUCAUCGUUUGUAGGGUGGAUAGUGACAAGAAUAUCAUUAUACAAAAGAAAUCCCGAGGGAGGAAGCAAUAAAAAUUUGAUAUUUGGCAUUGUCGAAAAGCUAUAUCUUUUCCUUCUGUACCUCUUUGGCCUCCUCGUCUUGGCAUUUGAGCAUAUACGGAGAGCUAUAAGAAGUUUAAAACCAGUUAAAGUGGAAGCGGUCCUGACAUAAGCUUCUAUUGACAAAGCAGUCAUUAUGUUUGAGUAAGUACUAGACCCUUUAUCCUUUUCUACUGAAAAGUGAAAACUCAUCGAAUAGGAGCUGUUUUCUAACCAUCUGUAUCUAUUCUUUUCGCAGGGGGUUUAUUAUGACCCGUGUAAUCCGCUUGUAAUACCAAUUUCUAUGAAUAUCUAACAAAAGAGUAUAUAGGAGAGAUGCAGCCAUCUCAGUGUCAGUCGAGAAUAUUAUCUUUAAAAAUUUAGGUGUGGAAGGAGUCAAAACAGCCAAAUAUUUAAGGCAUAUACUUGAACACUAAAAAGAAUCAGGCAGAAUAGAGGGAAUAACUAGCAUCUCUCCCCUUGCAUCUACAUAUAUUAUCAUUGUAUUGCUCCCACUCCUUUUCUUUUUCUUGUGUAAAAAAGGCCUACAGUUAAUAUUCAUAGAAAACAAGAUAUCUCCCUGGUAGUUAUAUAUAUAUAUACGGUCCAGAUCAAGUGCAUACCCCUUAUCUUACUCACCCGUGCUCACCCCUUUUUAGCGACGGACCCGACGACGAUUCGGUCAUACAACCGUCGUCUAUACUUUUAGCGACGCUAUAUGUUGUCUGUCGCUAAAAGUAUAGACGACGACGGUUGUAUGACAGAAACCGUCGUCGGAUCCGCCGCUAAAGGGGGGUGAGCACGGGUGAGUAAAAUAAGGGGUAAGCACUUGAUCCUUGCUCUAUAUAUAUAUAUAUAUAUAUAUGGGCUAUAUGUAUACACAGCUGUGUAUUAUACACCAUAUCUCAGAAUAGAUAUAACGACGGGUAAAACCGUUGUCAUAGCCGACUCUGUAAUACUCAGCUGUGUACAUAUAUUUUUUCAUAUAAAUAUUCUUCUUGUGGCCACAUGAUAUCUCACCGUCGAAACGAAGAUUGUUAUUUGGCUAUUAAACACUUGGAUAAACAGUUUGGAUGUUUGGCGAAUAUGGUCAAUUACGCUGUUGCCCCUCUAUUUAAUAAAAUAACUUUAAUAUGAGAGAGAAUUAAUACUUGUACAAUGACAUCCAUGUAAUGUUGUGUGAAUAUUUUAAAAAUAAUAAUAUGUUGAAUGCAAAUAAUGGGAGCCAAAUCAGAUAGCAUGAUAUAUAUAUAUAUAUAUAUAUAUAUAUAUAUAUAUAUAUAUAUAUAUAUAUAUAUAUACACUUCUGUGCAUGAAGUUGCUUAAUUACUUUUCGUUCACAAAACAAAAUCUCUAAAAUUUUACAUAAAACAACUGAAAUUAAAGCAUACUAUGAGAAGAUAGAGGAACUUGCCUGGCAAAAAAUUGCAUAUGAAAUCAUGGGAGUGAUAAUUUUGUUCAAUUGAUCAAUAUAGUGUCGACACAUAAGCCGAAAAGUGAUCUCUCUACAUGUCAAUCAAUUGACCAAUUUGUUAAAUCAUGGAGAGAAAAAUAACUGAUUUAAGAUGAAGAAGUUAGGAGU